rnacentral:lncRNA from 1 species
UUGGGCUUAAUUAUUAUAUUUAUGAGAUGACAUAGAUUGAUUUCAAGUUUUCACUCUAAAACUGGGGAUUAAUAACAUAUCACCAUCAACACUAAGACAACAAUAAUUACAAUGUUAAGACACCAAAUUAGUAACAAUUACAAAUAGCCAUUAUACAAAAGAAGAUUGAUAGUUUCAGUGCCUGUAACGCCUCUUACCCAUACCCAAAAAAGAUUGAUUUACAAGCAACCAUUCAUGCCCCAUUUUGAAUCGCAUGUAUAAGCUUACCUUGUGCGGCUAACGAUGGCGAACGAAACCAAAGGUAACAACAGUUGUUGGAGAAAGGAAGCAAAUUGAGAACGACUAAAAGUUGUAGCAUCGACACAAUUGAACCUAAGUGACAGCGGCGGUAGCGUAGGCUUGGGCAUUUGUUAGCUUAGGUUUAGAGAAACUAGACCGUGGUCGUGGCCAUGGGCAUUGUUAGCGGAAACUAUGGCUGCAACGUGGGCGUAUGUGAGUGAAUGUGUUGUCCUCUCUCUUUCACGAUAGAGAAGAAGAAGCCAAGAAAGAGAAGGGGAAUUAGGGAUUGUGUUCUGGUUUUUUGCCAUAUAUACAUGUGUGUGUGUGUGUUGCAAAGACUAACCCUAUUGGUGUUUUAAGAAAUAAAAACUGAAUGGUUUUAAAAAUUGAAUUGAUCAGGUUGUCAAAGUUAAACCGAAUCGAACAUUUCGUGCUAGGUUCAGUUUGGUUUAACUAGAUCUGGACACCC